rnacentral:misc_RNA from 1 species
CUACCCUUCAAGCGCGGCUUGAUUAUUGAGCCAAAUUGUCCUUUUUGAUGGACAGGCUUAAAAUGUAGUGGCGAUGCCGAGUCCUAGUGCCCGAGCGUAUGGAGCUCUGUCACACGCUUUAGUGGCCCAGCCGGCAUUUUUGUCGAUUAAAUCUUUAAAAAAAAAUUCUAAG